rnacentral:rRNA from 1 species
AUUGAACGCUGGCGGCAUGCUUUACACAUGCAAGUCGAACGGUAACAGGGUGCUUGCACCGCUGACGAGUGGCGAACGGGUGAGUAAUGCGUCGGAACGUGCCGAGUAGUGGGGGAUAACGCAGCGAAAGUUGUGCUAAUACCGCAUACGUACUGAGGUAGAAGGUGGGGGACCUUCGGGCCUCACGCUAUUCGAGCGGCCGACGUCUGAUUAGCUAGUAGGGGAGGUAAAGGCUCACCUAGGCGACGAUCAGUAUCGGGGCUGAGAGGAUGAUCCGCCACACUGGGACUGAGACACGGCCCAGACUCCUACGGGAGGCAGCAGUGGGGAAUUUUGGACAAUGGGCGAAAGCCUGAUCCAGCCAUGCCGCGUGUCUGAAGAAGGCCUUCGGGUUGUAAAGGACUUUUGUCAGGGAGGAAAUCCCUAGUGCUAAUAACACUGGGGGAUGACAGUACCUGAAGAAUAAGCACCGGCUAACUACGUGCCAGCCGCCGCAGUAA